GUGCGUGCCUUGUGCAGACACUGGAACAAACGAAUGGCCUGCAGGACUUCGGUAGAAAUAAAAGAAGAGACAUUAGAUUUUGUUUUGUUUUUCUUUUUCCCUUAUUUUUACA
rnacentral:ribozyme from 13 species